GAUGAACGCUGGCGGCGUGCCUAAUACAUGCAAGUCGAGCGAACGGACGAGAAGCUUGCUUCUCUGAUGUUAGCGGCGGACGGGUGAGUAACACGUGGAUAACCUACCUAUAAGACUGGGAUAACUUCGGGAAACCGGAGCUAAUACCGGAUAAUAUUUUGAACCGCAUGGUUCAAAAGUGAAAGACGGUCUUGCUGUCACUUAUAGAUGGAUCCGCGCUGCAUUAGCUAGUUGGUAAGGUAACGGCUUACCAAGGCAACGAUGCAUAGCCGACCUGAGAGGGGGAUCGGCCACACUGGAACUGAGAAACGGUCCAGACUCCUACGGGAGGAAGCAGAAGGGAAUCUUACGCAAUGGGCGAAAGCCUGACGGAGCAAGGCCGCGUGAGGGAUGAAGGUCUACGGAUCGUAAAACUCUGUUAUUAGGGAAGAACAUAUGUGUAAGUAACUGUGCACAUAGUGACGGUAACUAAUCAGAAAGACACGGCUAACUACGUG
rnacentral:rRNA from 1 species